AUGGGUUCAUCAUCCAAGAGAUGCCUUGGCGCAAUCCUCAUUGCAUCUUUCUACUUCUCAGCCUCCCUUGCCUUCUUCCCUGCUCACCAUGAGGGUGAGGGUGCCCAUCCAACUGGACACAGUCCAAAGCCAAGCCUUUCUCCACAUUUCUACAGGUCCACAUGCCCGCAAGCUGAUGAGAUUGUAGUCUCCGUCCUGAAGAAGGCGAUCACCAAGGAACCGCGCAUCGCCGCGUCCCUUCUCAGGCUCCUUUUCCACGACUGCUUUGUUCAGGGUUGCGAUGCAUCAGUUCUGCUUGAUGACAGCAAGGCAGUGGCAAGCGAGAAAAACGCUCUUCCCAACAAGAAUUCUAUUAGAGGAUUUGAAGUCAUAGAUGAGAUUAAAGCGGCACUAGAAGAAGCAUGCCCACACACAGUCUCUUGUGCUGAUACUAUUGCCCUAGCUGCCAGAGGUUCAACAGUAUUGAGUGGUGGGCCAUACUGGGAACUCCCACUGGGAAGGAGGGAUUCAAAGACAGCAUAUAUGAAGCUAGCAAAUAAGAACCUGCCUCCACCCAAUGCAACACUACAUCGUCUUGUAAAAUUCUUCGGAAGGCAAGGACUGGAUAACGGACCUUGUAGCACUAUCAGCCACACCAUUGGAAUGGCCAGAUGUGUUAGUUUCAAACAACGGCUCUACAAUCAGCAUAGAGAUAACAAACCGGACAUGACACUGGAGAAAAGGUUCUAUCACAAACUGGCAUCAGUCUGCCCAUGCACCGGAGGUGAUAACAACAUCAGCCCGCUAGACUUUGCCAGCCCUCCGAAAUUCGACAACAGCUAUUACAAGUUGAUAGUGGAGGGAAGAGGUCUUCUUAAUUCAGAUCAGGUUUUGUGGACUGGAAAAGACCCAGAAAUAGCACACCUGGUCAAAAGUUACGCAGAAAAUGAGUCCUUGUUCUUUGAACACUACAUGAACUCGAUAAUCAAGAUGGGGAACACAAAUCCCCUCUUGGGUUCUGACGGAGAAAUCCGUAUGAACUGCCGCAGGGUUAAUCAUGUUCGCUAG
rnacentral:rRNA from 1 species